AGAUUAGCUUGCUAAAUUUGUCAGCUAAGUGGCGCACGGGUGAGUAAUGUAUAGGUAAUAUGCCUCUUACUAAGGGAUAACAAUUGGAAACGAUUGCUAAUACCUUAUAUGCCUUUAAGACCUAAGUCUGCAAGGGAAAGAUUUAUUGGUAAGAGAUUAGCCUGUAUUGUAUCAGUUAGUUGGUGGGGUAAUGGCCUACCAAGACAAUGACGCAUAACUGGUUUGAGAGGAUGAUCAGUCACACUGGAACUGAGACACGGUCCAGACUCCUACGGGAGGCAGCAGUGGGGAAUAUUGCACAAUGGGGGAAACCCUGAUGCAGCAACGCCGCGUGGAGGAUGACACAUUUCGGUGCGUAAACUCCUUUUAUAUAGGAAGAUAAUGACGGUACUAUAUGAAUAAGCACCGGCUAACUCCGUGCCAGCAGCCGCGGUAAUACGGAGGGUGCAAGCGUUACUCGGAAUCACUGGGCGUAAAGAGCGUGUAGGCGGGUAUAUAAGUCAGAAGUGAAAUCCAAUAGCUCAACUAUUGAACUGCUUUUGAAACUGUAUACCUAGAAUGUGGGAGAGGUAGAUGGAAU
rnacentral:rRNA from 1 species